rnacentral:rRNA from 1 species
GAUGAACGCUAGCUACAGGCUUAACACAUGCAAGUCGAGGGGAAACGGCAUUGAGUGCUUGCACUCUUUGGACGUCGACCGGCGCACGGGUGAGUAACGCGUAUCCAACCUUCCCAUUACUGUGGGAUAACCUGCCGAAAGGCAGACUAAUACCGCAUAGUCUUCGAUGACGGCAUCAGAUUUGAAGUAAAGAUUUAUCGGUAAUGGAUGGGGAUGCGUCUGAUUAGCUUGUUGGCGGGGUAACGGCCCACCAAGGCUACGAUCAGUAGGGGUUCUGAGAGGAAGGUCCCCCACAUUGGAACUGAGACACGGUCCAAACUCCUACGGGAGGCAGCAGUGAGGAAUAUUGGUCAAUGGACGGAAGUCUGAACCAGCCAAGUAGCGUGCAGGAUGACGGCCCUAUGGGUUGUAAUCUGCUUUUGUAUGGGGAUAAAGUUAGGGACGUGUCCCUAUUUGCAGGUACCAUACGAAUAAGGACCGGCUAAUUCCGUG